rnacentral:rRNA from 1 species
GUGAACGCUUGCGGUAGGCCUAACACAUGCAAGUCGAACGGCAGCACAGUAAGAGCUUGCUCUUACGGGUGGCGAGUGGCGGACGGGUGAGGAAUACAUCGGAAUCUACUUUUUCGUGGGGGAUAACGUAGGGAAACUUACGCUAAUACCGCAUACGACCUACGGGUGAAAGCAGGGGAUCUUCGGACCUUGCGCGAUUGAAUGAGCCGAUGUCGGAUUAGCUAGUUGGCGGGGUAAAGGCCCACCAAGGCGACGAUCCGUAGCUGGUCUGAGAGGAUGAUCAGCCACACUGGAACUGAGACACGGUCCAGACUCCUACGGGAGGCAGCAGUGGGGAAUAUUGGACAAUGGGCGCAAGCCUGAUCCAGCCAUACCGCGUGGGUGAAGAAGGCCUUCGGGUUGUAAAGCCCUUUUGUUGGGAAAGAAAAGCAGCAGGUUAAUACCCCGCUGUUCUGACGGUACCCAAAGAAUAAGCACCGGCUAACUUCGUG